CAGACCCCUGGGGGACACACCGAGAAGUCGUUACUCGGAGAGCAGCUGGUCGGCUGUGAGUGGGUUGCACUACCAGGACCAGCCAGUGUGGGAAGAACAGCCUCAGGUAUGCCAAGUAUCUGCCAAGCCCAGGGCACACCAAAGAGCAGGACUAGGGGGUUUGUUUCCUCCAGGGUGAGCUCCUGCCUCGUGAACUCUGGACCUGUGACCACUUAUGGGAUCCUCAGAAGUUGGCUCGGGUGUUGGGGAGCCUAAGCACAGUGCUGUGUAUGCCUGGAGUGUUGUCUAUGACAGGUGCAGCCACCCUGUGUAUGGGCACAGCUAUGGACUGCCAAUGUGAGGUCAUUCAACGAACAAUACAACCAAACCAGACCAAAACUGAGGGGCACAGAGACCCCUUCAUUAACAGGUGUAACAGGUACUUCUCAAGAGGAGGUGGAAGGCGAGGGCAGUUCCUCUGUCCAGAGAGAGCUCAGCCAGAGGACCCAGGCCUGUGUGCUUGUGAGCACCUGUGUGGGUGCUGGGUGAGGGCAGAAGGACCAGAUGCAGGGAGAGGGUCCUGGCUGCAAGCUCUGAGGGCAGAGGCUCCAGGAUGCUCCUUCACCCCCCAGGCCUGGAAUACUGCUGGGUCUCGGACCCUUUCAGAGAUUCCUAACAUCCUCUAGUACAUGAGGAGGCCCAAGGAGUCCCGCGACAGAGGCCUGUGCAGCUUUGAGUCCACUUCCCUCUCCUAAUUACGCUCUCAGAUUUACGCUCCCAUGGCUGGGCUGGGAAGUUGAUUUCUGAACAUGACUCCAAAUGCUCCCCAGGUUUCUGGGGUGACUGGUCCUUGGGCUGUCCUAAUAUGCUUGAGGCCCCCGGAAGGUGCAUGAGGCCCCCUGGUGGGGGGCAGGGGAGCUCACACUUGUCACCUGACCUUUUCCCUUCUGUGGCAACUGUAGCUCAAGAGGCAUUCUUCACUUUAGAAUUUCAUGAUAAAACAGAGGAACAACAAGGCUGAUGGGCCCUCAUCUCCUCAAGGAGCCCAACAUGUCUUCACAGAGAAGUGAAGAGGCAAGCCCACACAGGCUGAGGGGAGGCCAGCACUCACAGCGCUUGCCCUGAGGGUGCACCCCGCCCAGCAGCCCUUCCAGAAGCUGGGACCCAGGUGCAGGCUUGCAGUGCAGGCAGGAUGUGACACCCCAUGUCAACUACGAAGGCCCAGGAACCAGAGGCCAGAGACCAGAGACAGGAAACAGGUGGGGAAGGUAGCUGCCUAGCUACAGGUUGGCAGCAGAGCAGGGGCUGAGCUCCUGUCUAGUCCUGAGCACUGCAGUCACAGGUGGCUGGCCUGGCCUACCCACCACAUGCUUCCUGCCCACCCACCUCUGAGGUCUGCUUCUGCCACUCCAGCCGACGGAUGGGCGCCGAAUCCAGCGCUGAGAGGAUGGCCAGGUAGGAGUUGAAGUUAUUCAGCUUCCGCAGGUGCUGUGGAGAGAGGUGGCCUGUGAGGGGAGGCCCAGGGCCAGCAGGCCUGAAGGGGGCUCUGGGCUCAGCCACCGUUACCUUCAUGAUCUUGAUGAACUUUAAGAGCAGCCGCUCCCUGUCCUGGGCUUUUUCCUGUAACAUGAUUAUGGACCGGACCCUGUGGGAGCAAUGGACAGAGCAGAGCAGCUGAGCUGACGGGGCUCCUGUAGGUCCUGGCAGACCAGGUGGAGCCAGACAGGGUGACACUGUACCGGCAGUCAUGAACCUGGCCUCAAGUGGCUCAGGACAUCUCAGGGGUCGGGGCCAGAUGCUCACUGACAGGGAGUUCAGCUCCUGCGCUAGACCUGGGGGAGCAGCGCACUUUCCUGGCUUGUACUGACCUGAACCCCUGGGGCCUCAGGACUGGCCAGGGAAUCCAGCCAACCCCAAGUCAGCAGGUCACUCUUGCUAGCCACAAGGAAGGGAACCUCUCAGAAUCUUAGCCCCAACAAAAGCUAAAGCUAGAACUGAAACCAACACCAAAAGCCGUCAUGGCUGUGUCUCAGGGGUCUGUGGUGGCGUCCACAUCCUAUGGAUCAUGUGGGCCUGUUUCCAGGGCUAUCCGAGGACGUGCUAGCCACUGCAUUACCUCCUCUGUCCUAUAAAAGGGCACCUGCACCAGGACAUCUGGGGGACUGUGGUAAUGACCAGGGCAGGACAGCAAACGCGAUGCCUGUUCCCUUCUGCCAUUGAGGGCAAGUAUCACUCAAGACCCUGGCACUCUUCCUACAGAGCUUCUGUGCCUCCUCUGUGCCUCUGGAGGGCAGGUGACCAGCCUAUCCUUGCCUUCUCUGCUCCCCAGGGCUUGAGGUUAGUGCCCACAGGGCCUCCAGAGGAGCCUGGAGGAAGGACGGCAGCAGCCCCCACCCUGCCAGCUCUCGUGGGAGACUGAAUUUGUCCAGUGGUGCUGCCAGACUGGCGAGCUUGGCGCAGAGGCUUUCUUACCAGUAGGACAUGUUGUUGAAAUGCUCUGUGAACUGGGUCAGGUUAGGGCUCUUCUCCUCAUUCUGUUCUUUUGCCCAAAGUAAAACCUCAGGAAUCUACAGAAGGAAACAGAGCAGACAGCACUGGAGCCCUCUGGCUUUCCUGUGCCUGGUGCUCUCUUUUUUUGGGUUGGGGGGGCAGUUGCUGAGGAUUGAACUCAGGGGCACAUGACCACUGAGCCACAUCCCCAGCCCUGUUUUGUAUUUUACUUAGAGACAGGGUCUCACUGAGCUGCUCAGGGCUUUGCUUUUGAUGAGGCUGGCUCCUCAGCCUCCCGAGCCAUUGGGAUUGUAGGCGUAUGCCCCGUGCCUGGCCUUGUGCUGUCUCUCAUUCAGAGACAAACCAGCAGCAGCUCCCCCGACACCUACCUCUAUUUUAUAGAAGAGCUCAGCAUCCAACAGUGUCAGCUGCUCGGCUAUUUCAUGACUGUGAAAGUCAUGCAAGGUCCCUGGCCUGGAAGACAGAGGCAUAAGAAGCACUGUUGGGCGUGGAGGCUGGGCAGGAGUGGCACUGCAGGCUCCAGGGCUAGGGAGGGAGCAGCUAUCCAAGCCUCACUCCACAUCAGGACAGCAGGGUGGCAACAGACUCCAAAUUGCUCCUUGGUCCCUCAGGGCCAUGAGAUGUCCCCAAGAGGCCUGCCUACGCCAUCUCUGCAGGUCGUCCACAGAUUCCAGAAUAGGACAAUGAGUUCCCCCCAUGGGAUUAUGGGUGACUCAGAUGCCUAAGGCCUUGCUCACCACUGGCCACCACUCCUAGGCGGUCAGCAAUAAGAGCUGGCUGUGGGAAUGGGGGAGGCUAACGCUCACGAAGGAGAGGGUGGCCAACCAGCCAGUGCCCACAGCUGGAACUAACACUCACCCUCAGGCUAGGGCAGAGGGUAGGCAGAAGCCUGGGACCUUUUUUUUUUUUUUUGAAUAUAUAUAUAUUUUUUUGGUUGACCAUGGACCUUUAUUUUUUAAUUUAUUUAUAUGCAGUGCUGAGAAUUGAACCCAGUGCUUCACACAUGCUAAGCAAGCACUCUACCACUGAGCCACAACCCCAGCCCCAGCCUGGGACCUUUGUACCAGUCUUGGGAAGGGUCUGGAUGGUGCUAGGAGAAAGCCCUGCGCUGACAGCAGCCUGGUGCACACCCACUCCCCUCCUGUCCUGCUCAGCCCCGCUGACCCACUGAUCCACUUCCUUGUUACCAGUGACUCGCCACCCCAAUUCCCCUAGCAGAGGAGGCCCCCCACAGGGAGCCAGAGGCUGUUCCCAAGGCACCUCGUCACAGGGCCUGGGCAGAAGCAGGACGUGAGGCCGUGCAGCCGGGGAGGACAGCGGAACAGAGGUGGCUAAGGGGUGCAGCUUUCCAGAGGGGCUGAGAGGCUGACUGCUCACCUGGCUGCAACACCCCGGGCUGCCAGGGGCUGGUCGGAGUUGGCACACCUGAGCAGCCUCUUCUGGUCCACCUUGUCUAGGAUGUUCUUCCGGAGCACGCGAGCCAGGCUGAGCUCCCCAUUGCACACCAGGCGGAAGACCAGCUCCAUCAGCAGCUUCAGGAUCUCCUCUGUCAGCUCCACCAGGCUAUGGGCCAAGGGCACAGGGUGAAGGCCAGGCACACAAGAGCCCACCAGCUACACCUCAGAUACAGGAGUGUUAGCGCAGAGCUGGAGCCUCCCAUGGAAGAGUGAGAAAGGACCUCGGGGCACCCACAUCCUCCACAGCUCUGGGUGUCAUGGUCCUGACAACAUUUCCCUGACUGUCACUCAAUACAUGCUGGCGCUGCAUGCACUGUGUGGGGACUCUGUGGGGCUGUGUUAGAGACCCUACACCAACCUGCCACAGGAGCUUCUGGUCUCACCCAAGCAGUAGACACCAGGAAGACAUCCCUCACCUCCUCUGCCUGGCCCUUCCCUGGAUGUGUGGCCACUGCCCGUUGAUGCUGGAGCCAGGCCUUGGUCUGUCUUGUUCACCUCCAACCCCAAGGCAUACUUGUAGAAUAUGGAAAUGGCCAGGGGUCACCAUAGAUCCCAGAUCCCAGUGGAAAGGCUGAGGUGGGUGGGAGAGGCUGCCCACUCCACUGCCCUAGCCUCUACCAAGCCCCCUACUGCUGAGAGUACAGCCAACACAGGCUGAUCCUAAGACGUUGGAGGGAGGGAUGGUGCCAGGUGGGACAGGGUCUCUCCUGAGGGAUGGAGCCCAUUAGGAAAGAUAGGACCUAAUACCUCAUUGUGUCCUAUAAGGGACAGGUCAUUCCUUUCAGAGAGUCACAAUAAAGUAGGCUACAGCCAAA